GCGAGUGUAGCUCAGCUGGUAGAGCGCGACCUUGCCAAGGUCGAGGUCACGAGUUCGAACCUCGUCACUCGCUCCA
rnacentral:tRNA from 1 species